rnacentral:rRNA from 1 species
AGAGUUUGAUCAUGGCUCAGGGUAAACGCUGGCGGCGUGCUUUAAGCAUGCAAGUGGAACGAUUCGUCUUCGGAUGGAGAGUCGCGAACGGCUGAGUAACAGGUAGGAACUUGCCUCUUGGUGGGGAAUACCUCAGAGAAAUCUGGGUUAAUACCGCAUGUGAUCCACGGAUCAAAGGGCGUAACUGCUCGCCAAGAGAGAGGCCUGCAACCUAUCAGCUUGUUGGUGUGGUAAUGGCGCACCAAGGCUACGACGGGUAGGGGACAUGAGAGUGUGUACCCCCAGAAUGGCACUGAGACACGGGCCAUACACCUACGGGUGGCAGCAACUAGGAAUUGUGCGCAAUGGGCGAAAGCCUGACGCCGCGACGCCGCGUGGAGGAUGACGGCCUUCGGGUUGUAAACUCCUUUUAUUUUGAGAGAGAUCUCAUUUUGAAUAAGCACCCGCUAACUUCGUGCCAGCAGCUGCGGUAAUACGGAGGGUGCAAGCGUUGCCCGGAUUUAUUGGGCGUAAAGUGUUCGUAGGCGGUUUAGUAAGUCACAUUUCAAAGACCAGAGCUCAACUUUGGGACGGGAUGUGAUACUGCUAAACUUGAGACACUCAGGGGCUACUGGAACUGUCGGUGUAGGGGU